rnacentral:rRNA from 1 species
GACGAACGCUGGCGGCGCGCUUAACACAUGCAAGUCGAACGGAAAGGCCUGCUUUCCCUUGUGGAUUGCGGGUACUCGAGUGGCGAACGGGUGAGUAACACGUGAGUGAUCUGCCCCCAACUUGGGUAUAAGCCUGGGAAACUGGGUCUAAUUCCCGAUAGGACUGCAGGGUGGUGCCUGUGGUGGAAAACGAUUUUCUAGUGGUUGGGGAUGAGCUCGCGGCCUAUCAGCUUGUUGGUGGGGUAAUGGCCUACCAAGGCGGCGACGGGUAGCCGGCCUGAGAGGGUGGGCGGCCACAGUGGGACUGAGAUACGGCCCAGACUCCUACGGGAGGCAGCAGUGGGGAAUAUUGCACAAUGGGCGGAAGCCUGAUGCAGCGACGCCGCGGGGGGGAUGACGGCCUUCGGGUUGUAAACUCCUUUCGACCGCGAGGAAGCCACCUGGUUGGAAGGGUGGUGACGGUAGUGGUAGAAGAAGCACCGGCUAACUACGUG